GACGAACGCUGACGGCGUGCCUAAUACAUGCAAGUCGAGCGAAUCUUUUGGGAGCUUGCUCCCGAAAGAUUAGCGGCGGACGGGUGAGUAACACGUGGGCAACCUGCCUAUAAGACUGGGAUAACUUCGGGAAACCGGAGCUAAUACCGGAUACGUUCUUUUCUCGCAUGAGAGAAGAUGGAAAGACGGUCUCGGCUGUCACUUAUAGAUGGGCCCGCGGCGCAUUAGCUAGUUGGUGGGGUAAUGGCUCACCAAGGCGACGAUGCGUAGCCGACCUGAGAGGGUGAUCGGCCACACUGGGACUGGGACACGGCCCAGACUCCUACGGGAGGCAGCAGUAGGGAAUCUUCCGCAAUGGACGAAAGUCUGACGGAGCAACGCCGCGUGAGUGAUGAAGGCUUUCGGGUCGUAAAACUCUGUUGUUAGGGAAGAACAAGUACAAGAGUAACUGCUUGUACCUUGACGGUACCUAACCAGAAAGCCACGGCUAACUACGUGCCAGCCGCCGCGGUAACAC
rnacentral:rRNA from 1 species